GUCACUGGCAAGGCUCUGAGCACAGCAGUUGAAACUGAUGGAAAUUUAAUCCACAACAGGUGCUGGAGUGAGCAAGAUGACCACUUACCAGGCUGAUCCCCAGGGCUUCUCCUCACAAACAUGGAAGCACAACAGAAGAGAGAUCAAGGGCUACAUUGACUUAGGAUUUGGAGGAAGAGAUGACCUGUUCUCACAGCCUCA
rnacentral:lncRNA from 1 species